UAGGGAAUCUUCCACAAUGGACGCAAGUCUGAUGGAGCAACGCCGCGUGAGUGAAGAAGGCUUUCGGGUCGUAAAACUCUGUUAUUGAAGAAGAACGUGUGUGACAGUAACUGGUCAUGCAGUGACGGUAUUCAAUCAGAAAGUCACGGCUAACUACGUGCCAGCAGCCGCGGUAAUACGUAGGUGGCAAGCGUUGUCCGGAUUUAUUGGGCGUAAAGCGAGUGCAGGCGGUCUUUUAAGUCUGAUGUGAAAGCCUUCGGCUUAACCGAGAAGGGCAUCGGA
rnacentral:rRNA from 1 species